CUCUCUGCCUCUGUUCCCAUCAGCUGUAGGAGCAGGCCUCUCUGGUGAUGAUAGGGCUAGGCAGUGAUCUUGUUAUCUAUAUUCAUGUGAUAUUCCUGGGAAGCCUGCUCUUUUCUGAAGGGAAAUUGAAGGAGCACAGAUAUGGUGGAGAGGGAAGGUGGGGUGAAAAUGAAGAAGCAGGAGAAGGGAAAGUGCAGUUGGAAUGCAUUAAGGGCAAGUAAUAACAUAACUGAUUGGUGAUUUUAUUACAUAUCUCCAUCUGGAACUUAGAGUGUCCAGGGACAUUGUCAUGGAGCAGUAGAAUUUUGAAAGGAAUUCUUUGUUAUUAGGUAGGUUUGAAAUACUCAGUGUUGUGGGAAGCUAUGUUAUCAUUCAGUUCUUGUCAUUCUAUUUACAUGGAGAGUAGAUUUAGCAUUUUGAAGGGCAGUAGGAUUUUUUUCAGGAUGAUAUUUUCCAGGAAAUGUUUCUUCCAGAAUAUAAGCAAAUGCUAACUUUUAUAAGAAUUGCAUCUAAUAUCUAAAAGUCAUCCACCUACAAGAGGAUUGAUACAGGGUGAUAUUUCAACUUAAUGACCCUCAUCUUCUAGUGAUUUGGACGAGAACAAAAGGAAAGCAGAGCUCUUCAAAUAGAGGAAAAAAUUUUAACAGUGAGAAUGAACAACAGAUCUAUGAUUGGUUGUACACAGCAAAGUCUCGCUUUUGAUGUUCUCUCAGACUAACACAAUUGACUCUGCAGAAGAUAAGACAGGCAUUGUUCUGUUCCAUGUUCAGAUACCACACAUCUUAUCUUGUAUCUAGCUAUGUAUGUAGGAUUAUGCUAGUUGGUGGACUUAAAUUGAUCUGUCUCUUUACCCUAAUGCCCUACACAAAGCUCUUUAUGGAUGUUAUGUGGUUAUAUUACCUCUUUCUUUCUCUAUUUUUUUUUAGCUGCCUUGUGCUUAAUAUUACUGCAUUCUUAAGGAAGUUAACUUUUCAGAAAAUUUCAGCUACAAUUCAUAUGUGACAUUAGAGUGCCCAGUUUAGAGUGUGCUGUCCCUGGGGCUGACUGAAAUGCUAGUGGCUCCCAUGGUCCACUGUAGUUUUUCAUCUCAGCAUAUUACUGAGAAGUGUUGAACUGCUGCUGCUAAGUGCUCAGGAUGGUUCUCUUUUGUCUGAACUGGCACCUUAAAUUGGAGCUAUAUUUUUUUUUUCUUUCAGGAUAAGAUUAGCUCAGACAGGCACAUGGUGAGACCUCAUCAGGGUCAGACCAUCAAUCCUGCCCCCAAAUAAACACAGUCACAGUGUGGUCUCUCACAACCUUACAGGCACUGUCAUGAAGAUUUCCAUCUUCAUAGUGAAAGAAAUAAGAGGAUUCUAUAAGGAUGUGGAAACACAGGAAGCAAGGAGGGGAGGGUAAGAAAGAAUGACAGAGUGAGUAACAAGAAACAUUAUAUUCAUGUAUGCAAAUAUCAUGAAAUUCAUUUCCUUUGACAAACUGAUAUACCAUUAUCAAAAUAAAAGCACUCUAGAAAAGACAUGCACUUACCUUCACCAUUUUUAUGAUUAUAAUUUGUCAAGUAGAUAAAAAGGAAUGAAAUAUAAAAGAGGCAAAUAAUUUAAAGAAUCGCUUUAAAGAUUUAUGUGAAAGUAUAUGCCCUCACUAGGUGCACAGAUUGAUCUGUUUUAACUAUAACUGGGUGUGUGAUAUAACUAAGGUCAUUAAAAUACAGAAACUAUCUUCAUCCCAAAUAUUAUCUCAUGGGACCAGUAGGUCAAAAGUCUUGAGGAAUGAUGUCAGAAGUCCAUGUAAAUUGAAACAUAUGAAGGUUAUUUUUCUCCCUAAGUGUGAUAAGUAAGUUGUAUCCAUUGUGUGGAUGUGUGGUAUCAGUAUCUUAUUUAAUCAUUUACAUUCCAAUGAAACAGUUGUUCGCGUUCAAUUUAUAAAUAAAGCUGCUUGUAAUAUUUUUCUA